GGUCCGAUGCCACGUCGCCGGUAGCCAUUGGCGAUGACCGGCGAUGCUAUGAUUGGACCGAUAUCAAUCUAUGUUUCGCAUGCUGAUAGGAACCUGUGGAUCAGGUUUAUGCCGUUGAUCUACGGAGCCGAUUUUUUGCGAUUACAUUU
rnacentral:ncRNA from 11 species